rnacentral:lncRNA from 1 species
GACUCUUUUAAAAAAGAUUGAUUGAAAUUUUGGAUUCAAUCAGGGCUCUGGUAAACAUGCUAGCACGUGUGGAACCCUUCCUCCUUUGGAGAUCAAUUUGGUCUCAUCCCUUGUUAAUUAGGUAGCCCAAUUUGAUGGGCAUUUGGGUAAGAUCAUGCCACCUAGAAGCAGCCUAAAUUGGGAUGCCAUAUCUCAUUUUAACACCAAUUAUGAAGAGUUCAAGUUGUGAAGGAUGCUUGGCGCAAAACAGGUUCUGCGUACAAGUGUUGGCAUGGGCAGAAGAAAAGAGUCCUUCUAGUGUGGGAUUAAGAUGCAUGUGGUAGCUCAUAUCACCAUCCAUCCUCUGGUACAUCUCAAAGCAUGAG